GGGAGCAGCUUCUCUCUGUGGGGAUUGUGCUUUUCUUGAGUCUCUUGCAGCCUUUGGGAAGGAAUCCUAUAAGCUACUUGCUCAAUAUGGGAGGAGAUUCCUAGAAUCCUCACUCACAGGGCUGCCCAGGGAGUUGUGGAGUCACCUUCCUUGGAGCUUUUCAAGAGAUGUGUGUGUGGAUGUGACACCAAUGGACAUCGCUAAGUGAGCAUGGUGGCCAUGAGUCAACAGUUGGACUUCAUGAUCUCAUGGGUCUCUUCCAACCUCAAGGAUUUGACGAUUGCACCUGGACUAAUGCCCAGAUCCCUGUAUCCACCAUUAGCUGAUUUGUGGUGCUCAGAAGCCAAAGCAGCCAAAAAUAGUUGUCAGAAUCCACCUGCAAGGUGGCCCUGUCAAAGCUGUAGUACUUUUGCCCAAUGGAAAUGGCCACUCCUGCUUCCCCUUUCAUGGAUGCCAUUACCCUUGAUAACUGAAAUUAAUUGCCUUGAUGAGUAACGGAAUUGCCAUGGACUAAUAUUCUAAUAGCAGAAAGACAGUAACCCCCCUACUGGAAUUGCGACUGUGAUAUCCUAAAGGACAUCAGGCAAACUGUAAAGACACAAAAUACAAUAAUGAGGGAGGAUGUCCAUCACGUGAGUGAGGUGCCAUGUUGCAGGAUGUUACUGCAGCUAUUUUUUCUUGAAAACCUACCUAACUGUUUCAAAGAGCCAUAAAAAAAGAGAGGCAUCUACUUUGGUGCACAGCAGUGUGCAGUACCUCGAUAAAGAUAUCGCUACCCCAAAUCAUUUAUGUUAAGCACUGGCAUUAGCUUGGGGGAAAGAAGGCAAAAAAAAAUCAGGAAGGAGCAAACCUGGGACUAAAUACAAUGGAACUUCCUGCCCUGCAGAAGAGACGACUGCAGGGGAAUAUUACAUACAGCCAUAAAAUAGUAAGUGGCACAGGUAAGAAGAAUAAAGAAAAUGAGUGCUCAUUGUUUCUUAUAAUGAAUGUAAGAAUGAGAAAGUGCCAAGAAGACAAUGCUGCAUUCAGAAUGCAUAAAAGGAGAUAGUUAUUUUGUCCCCCAAUUUAGCAGUUUAAUUCUAAAUUCAAUGUCACAAGACAAAGGCCACAUGGACACAAAAGGCAGCAUGUGUGGAGAUGAAUUCCGUGCCCAGUUUUUUUAUCACAAAGGCAGUACUUUUCACUCAAGAAGUUGUGAAGCUGUGGUUGGCUGGUAGGAAGCCUGCGGGGUGUGCUGGGGAGGUACUGCUGGAUGCUUCUCCUGUCCUUACACUUUUCUGUAGCCACCUACUACUGACCACUGCUGGACAAGAGAUGCUGGCUGGGUAAGUCUUUGGUCUCAUAAGGCGUUAGCUGACGUCUGCAAAAAAAAGUCUCUGAAGUCUGAGGAACAAAUUUGGCCUGUUCCAUUCUGAGAUACUCAGGAAUAAAUCUAAUAAUGUCAUAACACAUUUAGAGAAGAGUCACAUGUUAAAAGGUACUGAUCUGCAGUAAGUCUAAGCCCAAAGGAAUUCUAUCCAAAAACCUGGUAAUUUAUUUUCUGAUUUGUCAUUUACAGACUGCACUUGAUUCUUAAGCUUCAACUUCUCAUUCAGAGCACAAUUCAAAGUACAUCACUUAAUAUAAGUUGAGAAGACAUGGAUUAAACUAUUAGGAAAUAUGGAAGAACAUAAUUAGCUUCAGACAAAUUUGUCUCUAAAACUACUGUACAUUUCUGUAAUGAGAAUCUAGAAAGAAAAACUGGGGAUAAAGGAAAGCUUUGAAUGUAACAGUCCAUUUGGUAGCAUGGCAAAUGUAGCCUAUGACAUAUCCUCAUGGAUAGCCUCAAUCACAUAAUUUAUCUUUUUUCAGGGCCAUCACAGACUAUGAAAUACCUAGAGUAAUGCUCUUUCUAUGGCCAUUCAUUAAUAUAUCAGUGGAAAGCCUGUCUGCUUUCUAUUGCAGCCUUUGUUCUCAAAAUGACUUCUGUACUUCUAACACAUCAUUUCUGAAAUGCAAGUUGCUCAAUUACAUCUACUGCUGUCUAUGAACCUCAGUGAUUUCUGACAGAAUAUCAGUUUAUACACAACAAAGUAGAAAACCAACUUUCAAUAGACUGAGCUUGGUAAAGAUUGUUAUGAUGAAGCCAGAAUGUAUCUGGAUGAAAGAGAGACUGCUGCUCAUUUCAGGCAAUUGAUUAUAUCUAAUACAGCUUCUCUAAACAAUCAACUUAAUUUCGAAGUAAA